CCCUUAGAUGUUCUGGGCGGCCCGCGCACUACAUUGGCACUGGCAACAAGAUCCUAGAUCUGAUAUUUCGGGGUAUUCUACCAACUGGUGUCGUGACUGGGAUUAACCCCUGCAAUUAUUGGUUAUGAACGAGGAAUUCCUUGUAAUCACGGUUUAUCAACCCGUGUUGAAUGCGUCCCUGCCCUUUGUACACACCGCCCGUCGCUCCUACCGAUGAAUCGUCCGGUGAAGUUCAUGGAGUCGCGGCUGCUCCAGCUGUUUUCGAAGUGAAAUGGACCUCAUGAUUUAGAGGAAGGAGAAGUCGAACA
rnacentral:rRNA from 1 species